GUACACUCCUGCGGGAGGCAGCAGUGGGGAAUUUUGGACAAUGGGCGAAAGCCUGAUCCAGCAAUGCCGCGUGAGUGAAGAAGGCCUUCGGGUUGUAAAGCUCUUUUGUCAGGGAAGAAACGGUGAAAGCUAAUAUCUUUUGCUAAUGACGGUACCUGAAGAAUAAGCACCGGCUAACUACGUGCCAGCAGCCGCGGUAAUACGUAGGGUGCAAGCGUUAAUCGGAAUUACUGGGCGUAAAGCGUGCGCAGGCGGUUUUGUAAGUCUGAUGUGAAAUCCCCGGGCUCAACCUGGGAAUUGCAUUGGAGACUGCAAGGCUAGAAUCUGGCAGAGGGGGGUAGAAUUCCACGUGUAGUAGUGAAAUGCGUAGAUAUGUGGAGGAACACCGAUGGCGAAGGCAGCCCCCUGGGUCAAGAUUGACGCUCAUGCACGAAAGCGUGGGGAGCAAACAGGAUUAGAAACCCCUGUAGUCCCAUG
rnacentral:rRNA from 1 species